UACGAAGGGGGCUAGCGUUGCUCGGAAUCACUGGGCGUAAAGCGCACGUAGGCGGAUUGCUAAGUCAGGGGUGAAAUCCUGGAGCUCAACUCCAGAACUGCCUUUGAUACUGGCGGUCUCGAGUCCGGGAGAGGUGAGUGGAACUGCGAGUGUAGAGGUGAAAUGCGUAGAUAUCGUAAGGAAGACCAGUGGCGAAGGCGGGUCUCGUGGACAGUUCCUGACGCUGAGGCACGAAGGCCAGGGGAGCAAACGGG
rnacentral:rRNA from 1 species